rnacentral:rRNA from 1 species
GAUGAACGCUGGCGGCGUGCCUAAUACAUGCAAGUAGAACGCUGAAGGAGGAGCUUGCUCUUCUGGAUGAGUUGCGAACGGGUGAGUAACGCGUAGGUAACCUGCCUGGUAGCGGGGGAUAACUAUUGGAAACGAUAGCUAAUACCGCAUGACAACAGUUAUUGCAUGAUAACUGUUUAAAAGGGGCAACUGCUCCACUACCAGAUGGACCUGCGUUGUAUUAGCUAGUUGGUGAGGUAACGGCUCACCAAGGCGACGAUACAUAGCCGACCUGAGAGGGGGGUCGGCCAAACUGGGACUGAGACACGGCCCAGACUCCUACGGGAGGCAGCAGUAGGGAAUCGUCGGCAAUGGACGGAAGUCUGACCGAGCAACGCCGCGUGAGUGAAGAAGGGUUUCGGAUCGUAAAGCUCUGUUGUAAGAGAAGAACGAGUGUGAGAGUGGAAAGUUCACACUGUGACGGUAGCUUACCAGAAAGAGACGGCUAACUACGUG